rnacentral:rRNA from 1 species
CACGUAGGGGGCAAGCGUUGUCCGGAUGUAUUGGGCGUAAAGAGCUCGUAGGCGGUUCGGUAAGUCGGGGGUGAAACCUCCAGGCUCAACCUGGAGACGCCACCUGAUACUGCUGUGACUCGAGUCCGGUAGGGGAGCGUGGAAUUCCUGGUGUAGCGGUGAAAUGCGCAGAUAUCAGGAGGAACCCCAGCGGCGAAGGCGGCGCUCUGGGCCGGAACUGACGCUGAGGAGCGAAAGCGUGGGUAGCAAACAGG